AGCUUUGCGCAGUGGCAGUAUCGUAGCCAAUGAGGUUUAUCCGAGGCGCGAUUAUUGCUAAUUGAAAAUAUAUAAUAUGUUAUAUAUAUGUGAUUAUUAUUUUGGCUAGAAGGUGCAUGCAC
rnacentral:snRNA from 11 species